GGAACUGCUGAGUCACGGCCCGAACCUCUGAUUGAUCACCUGAGGUGAGCCAUGAGUCAGCCAGAGGAGCACAGGUGAAGGCAAUUUACCUGUGCUGCUGGAAGGGGUGGAGCCAGGCUCCUAGACCUAUUUAAGAUCUGGCUACCAGUGGGGAAGGAUCUUGUCUGGAGAUCCCCUCUUCUGGUGUUUUUUGUAGGUGAGCCUAGCAUACUGAAGAUGCAUGAUGGAAAUAUUUUCAAGGAGAGAAAAUCUUCCCUUUCUGAAACUUUGUAUCUGACUGAAAUUGCAACAGUUAAGAAACGACAAACAACUUCCUCAGUUUGCUGCACAACCAUCAGUGUAACAUGGGGCUCUUCAGGAACCAAGCAAUGCUUGUGGAAGUUCAGAAAAAGCUGCUAAAAUGAGGAACCUGUGGAAUUUCCAUCUGCAAAUGUACAUUU